rnacentral:rRNA from 1 species
UACGGAGGGGGCUAGCGUUGUUCGGAAUUACUGGGCGUAAAGCGCGCGUAGGCGGCUUUGUAAGUUAGGGGUGAAAUCCCGGGGCUCAACUCCGGAACUGCCUCUAAGACUGCAUCGCUUGAAUCCAGGAGAGGUGAGUGGAAUUCCGAGUGUAGAGGUGAAAUUCGUAGAUAUUCGGAAGAACACCAGUGGCGAAGGCGGCUCACUGGACUGGUAUUGACGCUGAGGUGCGAAAGCGUGGGGAGCAAACAGG